rnacentral:tmRNA from 1 species
GGGGCUGAUUCUGGAUUCGACGGGAUUUGCGAAACCCAAGGUGCAUGCCGAGGGGCGGUUGGCCUCGUAAAAAGCCGCAAAAAAUAGUCGCAAACGACGAAAACUACGCUUUAGCAGCUUAAUAACCUGCUUAGAGCCCUCUCUCCCUAACCUCCGCUCUUAGGACGGGGAUCAAGAGAGGUCAAACCCAAAAGAGAUCGCGUGGAAGCCCUGCCUGGGGUUGAAGCGUUAAAACUUAAUCAGGCUAGUUUGUUAGUGGCGUGUCCGUCCGCAGCUGGCAAGCGAAUGUAAAGACUGACUAAGCAUGUAGUACCGAGGAUGUAGGAAUUUCGGACGCGGGUUCAACUCCCGCCAGCUCCACCA